UCUGGUGAUUUGUCGGUGGGGUUAUACCUGUUCUCAUUCCGAACACAGAAGUCAAGCCCACCAGAGCCGAUGGUACUUUCGGGGAGAGUAGGCCGUCGCCAGAA
rnacentral:rRNA from 1 species